rnacentral:sRNA from 1 species
AUGUACCACGUACACUCCGGUUCCUCCACGCGGCCGCACCCACCCGACAACUGCUCGCUAUUUGUUGUUAGCC